UUUUCAUGUUAAAACAUAAUUUUGGUAAAACUUUAUUGCAUUAUUUAACUAAGGGUGGAAAACAGUUAGUUUUCAACUAUGUCCAGGUGGUCGGUAAUAGAUAGAUACAUGUAGAGUUGCGUUGUAUGUUAUUUAUCUGUAUUAGUUUUCAGAAUUUUAGUUUUAUAUUCUGAGCUUCCUAGAUAAUAUAUACUAGAGAUGUAUGCUAUAAUAAUCAUACAAGAUUACAAUGUUUUAUAAAUUUUCACGUCUAUGCUAAUGAGGAUUUUUUUUUGCUGCCCUGCUGUGUCUACCCCCUGACUGUAUUUCCUGCUGUUGGCUGCUAUAAGGUGAACACAGACGCUGGUUGCUUCGGGGAUGACAGAAUUGGUUUGGGAGGUGUUAUGCAUGAUUGUAUGGGUGAAGUGAUGCCUGCUACCUACACAACUAUGAGAGGUAGUGGCAGUGUGGAUGUUGUGGAAGCACUUACAGCAAGGCACUAUCUCAAGAUAGCCCUUGAUGCUGAACUGGAUAUGAUCAAAGUUUUGUCUGAUAAUAUAUCAAUCUUUGCAUGCAUCUGAAGAAGAAGUAUAUGGAGUGUAAUCAGUUUGGAUUAAUUGUGAAGGAUAUCCUUGAAUUAGCUAAGUAUUGUUCCUCAUUUUCUGUUUCUCAUGUCGGUAUAUAUAUACUUGUAUAUAUUUUUGUUUAGACUUGGCACUUGUUUCACUAAGCUUUUUGGUUGUAUAGGUGCAAUAUAUGAGCAAACUUUGAGAUGAUGUUGUGGAAUGUUGUUUAAUUUUGGGUGUUAUAUGUUAAAGGGUGGCUAAAGGUUUGUCUCAGGACUCUAAAGUGCAGAAGUUAGUAUAUCAGCAUUGUAUUGGAGCUGUAUCAUUAUGGGAAUAACUUGCAUCUUAUGAUGAUGAGUGUUGUAAAGCAAAUUGUGGUCAACUAUUUUUAUUGGGAUUACUUAACUUUGAUGGUUUAGGCCCCAUUUCAUGGUGGGUAUAAUUCCCGAUUACUGAAACUGAUCAUCACAGCAAGAACCAAGCUUAAAAGUUGACAUAAUAACCAGGCCUGAUCAUCGAAGUCAUUCUAACAAUCAAGUCGCAACAAAGCUGCUGAACUUGGUUCCUUGGUGCAAUGUCCAGCUUGGUUACUCACUACUGCCACUAGCCUUCUUUGACACAUGAUGAAUAUACUCCUUGUACCUUCUGCAAGUGAGAAAGAGUUUCAAGAGUAUUGUUGAGAGAAACCGUAAGGAGGGAAAAGCAAGCUCAGCUCAUUGAACGUUUGCUAGCUCAUUGACAGAUGGCUGUGAAUCGGAGUAUUUCUUAAUUCAAGCUGCUGUUUUCCUAUUUUGUUUUGAAAGUUAACAGAAAAAAUGUAACUUUAUAUAUAUGUUAAUGUUUAUAUAUCAAU